rnacentral:lncRNA from 1 species
CCUAUUGAUGUGUUGUAUCCCAUUAGCUGAUUUUUGAAUGUUGAACCAGCCUUACAUACCUGAGAGAAUAAUCUUCAUGGUAACUAGCCUCAUCUAGGAGCAAAAACGAUAACUUGGUUAAUGUGGACACUGAUCAAGCACAUCUUGUAGGCCAACGGAAAGAUUCUAAACAUUGAGAGAGUUCUGGAAAAUAGCUGAGCAAUACAGAUGUACAAUAAUGGAUGGUACAGCAAAGAACUAGACACCAGAGUCCCAUAUUGGGAAUGUGGCCUGCCCUCUUCAAGAUCUCUGUGAGCCUGACCGGAGUUCCCUGAAAUGUACUUCUCCCACUUUGUUACCUGGGAGGGAAUCAGAAAGUCUUCUCCCCGUCAGCAGGCAGAUCAGAGUCAAAAAAGCAAUGUGAUGAUGGAAGCAUAGUUGGAGUGACGUGAUUUGAAGAUGCAGGAAGCGGCUACAAGCCAAGGAAUGUGAGUUACCUCUAUAAGCCAGCAAAAGCAAGACAACAGAUUCUUUCCUGGAGCCUCUGGGAAUAAGGAAGCCCUGCCAAUUCCUUGACUUUUCAGCCCUGCAUUAGGACUCACUUUAGACUUUUGACCUUCAGAAUUGUAAGGUAAUACAUUUGUGUUGUUUUAAACCAUUGAGUUUGUGGUAAUCUACUACAGCAGCAAGACAAAUCUAUCACACCCUCCCUUUUCUCCUCUUUCUUUAGCACCAUGAUUCCACAACAUUUUUCAAGGAAAGGCACAGCAAAGUUCUUGUGGAAAGCACUCUGUUACAGAAUUCCCUCAUCAAAGUUUAGAUAAUGCAUUUUAUAGAACUCAAAGGAAAGAUGCAUUUUUAAAACCACAAUAUAUUUUAAGAUCAUAGUAUAAAACAAUGCCUUAACAAACACAAAACAAAUUAUAAGGUUUUCCUCUGUAAAGGUAGUUUUCGUUAAUUGAUAAACUAGUUUUGGAGCAGCUUUUGGUUUACAGAAAAUUGAAGGGAUAGUACAAACAUUUCCCACAUACCCUCUCUCACUCCUCUCAUAGUUUCCUUUAUUAUUAACAUAUUUAUUUGGUGUUGUGUAUUUGUCACAAUUGAUGAAUCAAUAUUGAUAUGUUAUUAUUAAAUAAAAG